GGCACAUGAUCUUGGACCAAUGAGGAUUCCCUAGGGGCGGAGCUAUACCUAUAUAGCUAUGUGGCACAUGAUCUUGGACCAAUGAGGAUUACCUAGGGGCGGAGCUAUACCUAUAUAGCUAUGUGGCACAUGAUCUUGGACCAAUGAGGAUUCCCUAGGGGCGGAGCUACCCAGUAUGACACCAUGGGAGCGGAGGCCAAACGCCUGGCAAAAUGUCCUGUUGGCAGUGUUUGUGUCACAGGUCAUUUCCACUGUGAAGGGGAAUAUCUUUCAGAGAAAAUGCAGCAUGUUUGAAAAAUAUUCAAGACUUCAUCACAAUAUCAGAGAUAACAUGUGGAUACUCCACCAAAAACCUCCUGCAUUUUUGAUGACUCAACCUUCUCUCCUCUUCCAGAGAUGAAGUGACUCAUAAGGAGAGGCAGAUGAACUUGUGGUUGUGUUUCUGCUGUAUAUGAAGUUUUACUGGUGUCUCAUGGACGCUGAGAAGAAAAGAUCAGAUACAAUUACACCAAGAAGGUU